rnacentral:pre_miRNA from 1 species
NCCAACGUUUGACCGUCCAUCUUAUUUGAAAAAAUUAUGAAAAAAAUUAAAAAGACAAAUCACGCAUAAAGUAUUAAUCAUGUUUUAUCAUCUAACAACAAUGAAAAUACUAAUUAUAAAAAAAUUCAAAUAAGACAGAUAGUCAAACGUUGGACACGGAAACUCAGGGUUUGUCUU